UCCACACUGGAGCAGCCAGUUCCUGAAGGGACUGCACCCUGUGGAAAGACCCUGCUUGUAAAGAACUGUAGCUUGUGGGAAGGGCUCAGGUUGGAUAAGUUCAGGGAGGGCUGUCUCCCAUGAGGAGGACCCCAUGCUGGGGAAAGGGUUAGAGAAAAUCAGGAGUGAAGAGAAACUCAAGAAGAAAGGAGGAGUGAGGAGGGGAGUUAUAGAGUAACUUUGGUGGGACCCUACAGACCAGCCAGGGUCAGCACAUCACACAUGGAAUUGGGCUUUUCCUCGUUUCAUUCUCACAAUCCUGUGAUUUGCAAUCAGAGCCUGUGAGCAGCAGACAAGAGGAGUACUAUUGUCUUUGGUCUUCUCUCCCAGAACAAAGAUAAUGUUCUUGGGGCACUACUCUGAGUUCUCCUCUCCUUAGAUACCCAUUCUGUAGAAAACAAAUCAGCUUUUCAGCUCUUUCCAACUCAGCUGAAUGGUAUCAGCACACUCAACAGCUACAUACGGGUGUGACAGACGGCAACAGGGACAGGCAGUCCCCCAAACUCAGAUGAGAUAACUUGGUAACCAGUACUCCAGAAAUCUGAAGUGUUUAAAAUCUGAAAGUGGAUCCAAACUUUAUCUUAAGCCGUGCCUAAGGUAAAGAGAGACCAAGGUCUUGUUCUGCUUCUGCCUUCCCAUUUGGACCUCCGUGAGGCCUGAACAUGCACUCCUUUCUCUCGUGGGUUAUUUCUCAUGACUGCAGAAGCAGGCCAGCAGGAUUGCCCACUGCCUAAUUUGGAGAUGGACACUGUACAGGACUACACAUAUUUCAUAUCACGGACUGCUUUAAAACUUUUUUCUUGUUUGUUCUUGUAUUGCAGCUUCAAGAGCAUUUUACUUGAACUCAGAAUUAAACAAAAACAUUUCUUCCUGUCCUUUCCCACCUGAAAGAUGACUGCUGCUCUCACUUUGAGGAGCCAUGACAGGAGAAGGAGUUAAAAAUCUCAUGCUGUUUUCUGGCCAGUACCUUCUUAAGUAUGUCACCCCUCCCCACGCACACAGGAGUUGCACUGCCCUCUCCCUGGAUGGUUCCACAUAUCUGUUCUCUGAAGUUACAGAGAUGGGAAUGAUUUUCCUCAACAUGAAAUACUGUAUAAAGAGUGUGGGUGGGAAAUAUGCAGUGUAAUGGAACUGAAACCCCAUAAGGGAAAUCAACGCAGGCAGCUGCUGAUACACUAUUUACUUGGAUAAAUCGUCCAUUUUUCUCCCAGGCCAGAUGACUUGAGGUAUCACCUACCCAGGAUGGCAAGUGCAAAUAUAAAUAAUAAAUAAAACUAACUGAGGAAGAA